UACGGAGGAUGCGAGCGUUAUCCGGAUUUAUUGGGUUUAAAGGGUGCGCAGGCGGCACGGCAAGCCGGCGGUCAAAUCGCGGGGCUCAACCCCGCCCAGCCGUCGGAACUGCCGGGCUAGAGUGGGCGAGAAGUGCGCGGAAUGCGUGGUGUAGCGGUGAAAUGCAUAGAUAUCACGCAGAACUCCGAUUGCGAAGGCAGCGCACCGGCGCCCUACUGACGCUCAGGCACGAAAGCGUGGGUAUCAAACAGG
rnacentral:rRNA from 1 species